GAUGAACGCUGGCGGCGUGCCUAAUACAUGCAAGUCGAGCGAACGGACGAGAAGCUUGCUUUUCUGAUGUUAGCGGCGGACGGGUGAGAAACACGUGGAAAACCUACCUAAAAGACGGGGAUAACUUCGGGAAACCGGAGCUAAUACCGGAGAAUAUUUUGAACCGCAUGGUGCAAAAGUGAAAGACGGUCUUGCUGUAACUUAUAGAUGGAUCCGCGCUGCAUUAGCUAGUUGGUAAGGUAACGGCUUACCAAGGCAACGAUGCAUAGCCGACCUGAGAGGGUGAUCGGCCACACUGGAACUGAGACACGGUCCAGACUCCUACGGGAGGCAGCCGUAGGGCAUCUUCCGCAAUGGGCGAAAGCCUGACGGCGCAACGCCGCGUGAGUGAUGAAGGUCUUCGGAUCGUAAAACUCUGUUAUUAGGGAAGAACAUAUGUGUAAGUAACUGUGCACAUCUUGACGGUACCUAAUCAGAAAGCCACGGCUAACUACGUG
rnacentral:rRNA from 1 species